UCGUUGGCCGAGGGACACGAUGCCUAGCAGGGCUGUGGUGCGCAAAAAGCACCGACGCGAUGCGAAGCGCAGAAAAGCGCAGGAUGCAGGCGGCAGUCCAUCCCAGUGCUUCGCAUCCGCCAUCCUAGGGGCCGACGAGUCCGCUGUUCAUCCUUCCUCAUCACGGGUGCGCUUGCUGCUCCCCAUGGCGCUAACGGAACCGCAAGUUUCACGCAAGCGCGCACCGGAGGUGCCGACUACGGACCCGCCUUCAUCGCCGAGCUCUACAUCUGCCGCUCCUGCGAGCUUAGCGCAUCCGCUGAAGCGACGGCGAGCGGAGGUGUCUCCGCUGGAGCCGAUGCCGGGGGGUCUCACGCGCAAGGAGCGCCGGCGCUGGGAGACGAGCCGGCGGCUGGAGCUUCAGAUGUCGCGACUGAACUCAAAUGCUACGGCUGCGAAGGAGAUGGUCGAAGAGGCGGCUGCUCAGCGCCGCGGCACGGCAAGUGAUACUGUCGAUGGUGACGCGGUCGCCGUGCCAGAGCCGAAACUGCGGCACGACCCCAAGUUUAAGCACGGCACGUUUUGGCGAGAUCGGAAGGAGAAAAGGGCGCGCACGCUCUUCCUAGGCGGCAUUCCCUCCGCGUUCUCAGUGAAGCAGGUGAAGGAUUUCAUUAGCACCGUGGUCGACCUUGAUCCUGAUGCCACUGAAUAUGCGGAUCAGGUUGGCCAGAACACAGAGGUGGUGGAGGAGGUGGAUAUGCUACCCGUAAAACACCAUAGCAGGGUCAAGCACAUGUACGUGACCAUGGCAUCCGUCCCACUUGCCGGCUGCGCCGCAGCGAUGCUGAACGGAUACAAGGUGGAGGGAAGGGAGCUACGGUGUAACUUUGCAGCGGAUAAGGCGCAGAGGGAAGAGGCGAUCCGGCGACGAAAUGCCGCGCAGCGGUGAGCUCACGCGCGCCGUUAAAAAAAAAGACGUCUGUGGGUGCGCCAGUCUCCCAGGCACCACAGCGACGCAAGGGGCACCCUUCAUGAUCGUCUCGUGCUCGCAGGUUUUUUUUUUCUUUGGAACGGCUUUCGCCCUUGCGUCGGCGGUUUACGAGUGUAAGACGAUAAGUGUGGGCAGGCACAAGAGCCGCAAGGGUAAGCCAUGGUCUUCGAGGCGCCGGCGAAACAAGAGCAAAG
rnacentral:misc_RNA from 1 species